rnacentral:rRNA from 1 species
CUCAAAAAAUAGAUCUCAGUUCGGACUGUAGGCUGCAACUCGCCUACACGAAGUUGGAAUUGCUAGUAAUCGUGGAUCAGCAUGCCACGGUGAAUACGUUCCCGGGUCUUGUACACACCGCCCGUCACACCAUGGGAGCUGGUAACACCCGAAGUCAGUAGUCUAACCGCAAGGAGGACGCUGCCGAAGGUGGGAUUAGCGACUGGGGUGAAGUCGUAACAAGGUAUC